rnacentral:misc_RNA from 1 species
UGAUCUCAAAAAGAACAAGAAGGGAAAUAUAAUUAGUGGUUCAUUGUAAUAUAAAUGUGUACAUUAUUGCAUCCAUGCCUAAUGGACCUGCUCUUCAACAACACAAUCAAACUAUAAAAGAUUCCAGACUAAACCCUUUUGAUUGAUCACCUAAACAUCAAAUUUUCACCAAGCAAAUUCUAUGAAUUCAUUUCCACUUCAUCUAAUGCUACUGUGAAAACAAGCAGCACACCCGCAAUUUUCUAUCUGUAAAAUAAGGAUUUGUUACUGUACUUCUUGUGCUGUUGAAUUGAAUAUUCAAGGGCAGUUUUUUUUUUUACUUUUUUGGUAAUACAAAGUGAAGCCAUCAUCAUGAGAAACAUGCCAUCCUCGUCGACAAGGUGCAUUAUCAUCACACUCACCACAGAAGCUCCAUCUUUUAUUCCAAUUGGUACUUCUUCUAUUUGGUCAAUUACCCUUCUCGUUUCAUUUAUGGACAAUCACUCCAGAGAUCAGUCCGUUCCCCAUCAAUCCCUUGGUGUGGUGGAGCCAAAGAAAAUAAUCCUUUCUCCCCCUCAAGCAGCAUACCCUCUUAAAAUUGCGAGGAAUGCCCGUUCUCAAGUUAAUCUCCAAUCACUGUGGUGUGGCCAUGGAAAGAGCAAGCAGCUGAGGAGUUAUCUUUGUCGAGGUAAAGGGUAUUACAACUCAAGCAACUCUUCUUCUCGGUGGUUUAAAUUUGAGAGAUAUUUGGUUUUGUCUCACCAAGUCCAGCAAGACAGUACGUUAAAGCCAUCUUGCUUAUUCACUUUUGAGAGAGAAAGAGAGUCAUGCGUGAUUUGGG